UUACGGUGACAUCACCUUGAAACCUCGGUUCCCGUACGAUCACCGAAAUUAAGCAACGUUAAGCCUGGUCAGUACCUAGAUGGGUGACCAUUUGGGAAUACCAGGUGUUGUAAG